AACUGUAAGGAACUGCCCAAAUCUCAUCCUUAGCGAAGAUCAAACAAGAAUUAAACAAGCAAGUGAUAAACAUCGUAUUGACUUAACCUAACCACAUCAGGUUAAUUCUAAAGGGCAUCUUCUACUGGCUGGUGACGUGGUCUAAUGGAGUGAGUUGAAAUUUCAUCAUAUGCUCAUUGGACAAGCGGGACUCAUAUGCCCAAGCGUUGUUAAUAAAUAAUCUAGAAUUGCCGGACAACUAGGAGAAGCCAAUCUCCAGCAGGACUUAGGAGCAGUAGGGCACACAGUGGCCAUAUCUUGAUUGACACUCUCUUCAAAGGUCUACUAAUCCUAAGAUCUAUGUGAAUUGUUUUAUGACACAAGGAUUAGGGGACAGGAGAUGAGUGAAGGAUUAAGGCAGAAGAACAUUUACUGG
rnacentral:lncRNA from 1 species